UACGGAGGAUCCAAGCGUUAUCCGGAAUCAUUGGGUUUAAAGGGUCCGUAGGCGGUUUUGUAAGUCAGUGGUGAAAGCCCAUCGCUCAACGGUGGAACGGCCAUUGAUACUGCAAGACUUGAAUUAUUAGGAAGUAACUAGAAUAUGUAGUGUAGCGGUGAAAUGCUUAGAGAUUACAUGGAAUACCAAUUGCGAAGGCAGGUUACUACUAAUAUAUUGACGCUGAUGGACGAAAGCGUGGGUAGCGAACAGG
rnacentral:rRNA from 1 species